UACGUAGGCAGCAAGCGUUGUUCGGAGUUACUGGGCGUAAAGAGUGCGUAGGCGGUUGACCAAGUCUGUCGUGAAAUCUCCUGGCUUAACUGGGAGGGUGCGGUGGAAACUGGUUGGCUUGAGAGUGGGAGAGGUAAGCGGAAUUCCUGGUGUAGCGGUGAAAUGCGUAGAUAUCAGGAGGAACACCGGUGGUGUAGACGGCUUACUGGACCACGACUGACGCUGAGGCACGAAAGCGUGGGUAGCAAACAGG
rnacentral:rRNA from 2 species